rnacentral:ncRNA from 1 species
UAUCGACUGACCUAGCAGACUAAGCCAAAGACGAUAGGUUUUUUUCGGGAGAAAAAUUAUG